AUAAUUUUAUCGGCUGGCUCCGGGCUGGGUACCUUAACCCGGGGCAAGACAAUAGGGUGCUGGCGUCCUGUGUAGCGUGCGACUGCGCGACACAGGUGGCGAGACUCAAAUCAGACCGCUAAACAUGUAGAUCUGCCCGAAAAAGGCUUGCGGACGGGGGUUCAAAUCCCCCCAGCUCCACCA
rnacentral:tmRNA from 1 species